rnacentral:lncRNA from 1 species
GGCCACGCAGCCAGCGCCGCCAAGCUGCAGGGUUUAUCGAGGUUCAGCGUCUCCUGACACCUCCUGACGUCUCACCUCUGUGCCACCCAACACUGGCCAGAAAGCCACGGAGCUCCCCUCAAGCACCGUAGGAGAGUCCAGCCGUGGGGACCCCUCCAACCCUCAAGCCCUAACCCCGUGAAACCCAGCAACUGUUCCCCUUCCCAGCACUGAAGCAUUUUCGGGGUGCUGUGGGGUUCUGCUCUGCUCCCCCAGGAGCUCUCAGGCACCCUGUGGCACGUGGCACUGUUGGUGUGGACUCAGAACCACAUCUGGGAGGACCCGAGAGGUGGCGGUCAGGCUCCCUGCUGCGUCCUUCCCAGCAAUUGAGGGCACACCGUCUGCAGGGGAGACGAGGAUGACAAAGCCCCGUGUGGGACGGUCCGUCCUGCCCGAUGCGGCCUCAGGGUGCGGUGGCUGUCGUUCCCAGUGGCCCUGAGUUGGGCUGUGCCACGCAGCCAGUGCCCCCCCCGUGAGACCUGCCCGGGACCUCUCCUGUCCUCUCCGGGAAGGUGGCACCUGGCCUGUGCCGGCCACAGAGCUGCACUGAGUGUGCGCAGCGUCUGUCCACCUCCGAGCCGCAGGCGCCAUGGUCGUGUAACAAGUGUGCGAAAUGACUUCUGCACACAGACAACUUACCGGAGCUCAAUUAUUCAUGCCGGCCCUGAUGACUUCCUCCCGCCCCUCCUACCUGUCAGAUCUGCUCCUGUGUUCAGACAGACACCAGGCUCGGCCGCGGACAGCCAGAGGUGAGGAUUAAUAUUUCACGACAGUUGAUGAUAACUGCAUGAUAACUUUAUUGACCAGGCUCCAUGGGAAGGCGUGGAAAGUGGUGCCUCCUCUGAGGGAGAGGACAUGGGCCGCCGCCUCCCACAGGGCUCUUGCCGGGUCCGCAGGGUGCUGUGUGCCGCAGGAAGUGUGGGCCCCUUUCCCGGCUCCCGGCUCUGGGAGUGGCCGGGAGUUACCUGUUCUCAGGCCGUCUCUUCUACACAGCACGGAAAUCCCACAGUGCUGUCUCCAACAGGGUCUCCGGGUGGUGCUGAAUACAGAGCAGCCUCCGCACGCGAGAAGCACCUGAAGUCGCCUGUGGGCCUCUCUGAGGGUCCCCGGGCCCUGCCUGGGGGAGCAGGGCAGCCUCAAGCAUCCACCAACCCAGAAAGGCCUCCAUCAGGGUGACGCCACCCACACAGGAGGGGGUUGCUUCUCUCCGCCCACAGACCCUGCACUGACCUCCACCAGGGGCACCCAGAAUGAUGUCACAGCAACACAGGAAGUCAGACGCCACCCACACGCAUGACACGCGAGGCUCGCUCCUACAGCAGGCCACACCACGCCACUCCCCAGCCAAACCCCAGCCUCGGGCAGAGCAGGCUGAGGGCCACUGCGGAGCAGGGA